rnacentral:rRNA from 1 species
UCCCGUCAAUUCCUUUGAGUUUUAAUCUUGCGGCCGUACUCCCCAGGCGGUCAACUUCACGCGUUAGCUACGUUACCAAGUCAAUGAAGACCCGACAACUAGUUGACAUCGUUUAGGGCGUGGACUACCAGGGUAUCUAAUCCUGUUUGCUCCCCACGCUUUCGUGCAUGAGCGUCAGUAUUGGCCCAGGGGGCUGCCUUCGCCAUCGGUAUUCCUCCACAUCUCUACGCAUUUCACUGCUACACGUGGAAUUCUACCCCCCUCUGCCAUACUCUAGCUUGCCAGUCACGAAUGCAGUUCCCAGGUUGAGCCCGGGGAUUUCACAUCCGUCUUAACAAACCGCCUGCGCACGCUUUACGCCCAGUAAUUCCGAUUAACGCUCGCACCCUACGUAUUACCGCGGCUGCUGGCACA